CCUACGGGGCGCUGCAGUGGGGAAUAUUGGACAAUGGGCGAAAGCCUGAUCCAGCCAUGCCGCGUGUGUGAAGAAGGCCUUCGGGUUGUAAAGCACUUUCAGUGGGGAAGAAAGCCUUGGGGCUAAUACCCUCGAGGAAGGACAUCACCCACAGAAGAAGCACCGGCUAACUCCGUGCCAAGCAGCCGCGGUAAUACGGAGGGUGCGAGCGUUAAUCGGAAUUACUGGGCGUAAAGCGCGCGUAGGCGGUCUGAUAAGCCGGUUGUGAAAGCCCCGGGCUCAACCUGGGAACGGCAUCCGGAACUGUCAGGCUAGAGUGCAGGAGAGGAAGGUAGAAUUCCCGGUGUAGCGGUGAAAUGCGUAGAGAUCGGGAGGAAUACCAGUGGCGAAGGCGGCCUUCUGGACUGACACUGACGCUGAGGUGCGAAAGCGUGGGUAGCAAACAGGAUUAGAUACCCGUGUAGUC
rnacentral:rRNA from 1 species